AAUGAAAAAUAAGUAAUCAUAAAUUAUUUAUUGGCUCUUCUUUUUCAUCAGUAUAGAAAAUAAAAUUGUGUGUUGUACAUGGGUUCUGGUCUCCUAAAAAGGCUUAGAAAAAAAUGGCAAACCUAUUAGUAGUGGAUUGUAUAGUGUCUCCCAAAAAUUCAGAAUAAGACCUUGUUUGGAAAUAAGGUCUUUGCAGAUGUAAUUAAUUAGUUGUCAUCCUGGAUUUCAGGUUAGCUUAAAAUCCAAUGACUGGUAUUUUUAUGGGAGAAAUGAGACGGACACACAGACCCAGAGGAGACAGAGACACAGAGUAGGACUUGUGAAGACAGAGGCAGCAGAUAUUAGAGUUAUGUUGCCACAAGCCAAGGAACACCAGGAGCCACAGGUAGGUAGAAGAGAAGAAUUGUCUCCUAGAGCCUGUGGGGGACCUGGCUGUACUAACACCUAAAUUUCCGUUGUUUUAAGACACUCAGUUUAUGUUAAUUUGUUACACCAGCCCGAGGACACAAAUACUCUAGGGUACAAAGGUCUGACUUCCUAGCUUAAUUUGAGAUAAGCUAAGAGGGUCAUUUCAGCUCCAGAACUACCCACGGAAUCCGCUGAGGCUGCUUCCACUAUUGCAUCACAGUUCAGCUUCUUUGCUGCUCAAUCCUACAUACUUUAUCACUUCACAUUUGUUGUUUCUGAAAGAGUUCCCCCAAUAAACCUCCUGUACUCAGUCCUCUACCAAGAGUCUGCUUCCGGGGGAAUUUGCCCUAAGAUAGUCGUAACAGGACUGGCCCUAGGAAGGAGACUCUAAAAUGAUAUUUUGGAGCUCCAUCAUCCACUUGCUGGUUUACAAUGAUCUCAUCAUAGACAGCAGAGAAGAGCAUCUCUCUCAGAGGAGGCACUGAACAGCCAAAUACACAGAAGAACUUGUUCGGUUGACAUCCUUCCAUCAGCUUCUGCUAUUGGCCACCUGGAUGCUGGUAAAAUGGGCAGAGAGGUAUAUCAGCCACAACUGUAAACUGGAGAGAACAAGAGCCUCCUAUCCUCUAGGAUUGCUGAUUUCCUGUGUAAUGAUUAUCAAUGUUGAAGUGAAAAGAGACAGCUGAAUUCAUCAGUGGGAUAGGAGGGUCAAGUCAAGUUACCAGCAUUCCACACGACUGAUUUAAUGUACCUAAGAUUGUGGUCUGUAUUUCCUGUGACAAGAUUCCUUCCUGAUGAUUUAUCAAGGAAGAGGUUCUUACUUUUAGAUUCAGGUCUCUCUGUGAAAAACAUGUUAACCUAGAAAGUUGUCUCACCAAACACUAGGAAAUGUGGCAUAAUUGGAUAUCAACUUUGAUGCAUUGAUUUUUAAUGGAACAUCAGCAUCU
rnacentral:lncRNA from 1 species